rnacentral:rRNA from 1 species
UACGGAGGGUGCAAGCGUUAAUCGGAAUUACUGGGCGUAAAGCGCACGCAGGCGGUUGGGUAAGUUAGGUGUUAAAGCCCCGGGCUCAACCUGGGAAUUGCAUUUAAAACUGUCCAGCUAGAGUCUUGUAGAGGGGGGUAGAAUUCCAGGUGUAGCGGUGAAAUGCGUAGAGAUCUGGAGGAAUACCGGUGGCGAAGGCGGCCCCCUGGACAAAGACUGACGCUCAGGUGCGAAAGCGUGGGGAGCAAACAGG